UUUCCUGUUUAAAUCUGCCCCUCUCUGUCCAGACUGCACUUAAGAGACACAGUCCGCAGCCACCCGUGUCUGUGCAGUGACCAGCCAGUCCCUGAGAACGUUCCCCUCCAGCCCCCGGGGAAAUGAGGCUCUGGUUGUACCUCGUUCUCACUGCAGCAUGUCUGGAAGGUGUCCGGUCGCAGGUCCAGCUGGUGGAGUCCGGAGGGGAUGUGAAAAAGCCCGGAGACUCUCUCCGCCUCUCCUGCAAAGCCUCCGGCUUCACCUUCAGCAGCGCCUACAUGAGCUGGGUCCGCCAGGCUCCCGGGAAGGGGCUGGAGUGGGUCGCCCGGAUCAGCAGCGGCAGUGGGAGCAGCACAUACUACGCUGAUGCAGUCAAAGGCCGAUUCACCAUCUCCAGGGACAACCCCAACAACCUGCUGUAUCUGCAAAUGACCGGCCUGAAGCCCGAGGACACCGCCCGGUAUCACUGUGCCAGAGAUGGGUGGCGUGUCCGGUCCCAGGGGUUGGCGGAGUCUGGAGGGGAUGUGAAAAAGCCCGGAGACUCUCUCUCCCUCUCUUGCAAAGCUUCCAGGUUCACCUUCAGCAGCUACUGGAUGCGCUGGGUCCAUCAGGGUCCCGGGAGGGACUAG